rnacentral:misc_RNA from 1 species
GAUGAAGAACGCAGCGAAAUGCGAUACGUAGUGUGAAUUGCAGAAUUCAGUGAAUCAUCGAAUCUUUGAACGCACAUUGCGCCCCUUGGUAUUCCGAGGGGCAUGCCUGUUCGAGCGUCAUUAUAACCCCUCAAGCUCAGCUUGGUGUUGGGGCCUGCUGCACUGGCAGCACUUAAAAUCAGUGGCGGCGCCAUCUGGCUCUAAGCGUAGUAAUUCUUCUCGCUAUGGAGUCCUGGUGGAUGCUUGCCAUCAACCCCCAAUUUUUCUAUGGUUGACCUCGGAUCAGGUAGGGAUACCCGCUGAACUUAAGCAUAUCAAUAAGCGGAGGA